rnacentral:rRNA from 1 species
CUACGGGGGGCUGCAGUGGGGAAUAUUGGACAAUGGGCGCAAGCCUGAUCCAGCAAUGCCGCGUGAGUGAAGACGGCCUUAGGGUUGUAAAACUCUUUCGCUAGGGAAGAUAAUGACUGUACCUAGUAAAGAAGUCCUGGCUAACUCCGUGCCAGCAGCCGCGGUAAUACGGAGGGGACUAGCGUUGUUCGGAAUUACUGGGCGUAAAGAGUUCGUAGGCGGACUGACAAGUUAGAGGUGAAAUCCCAGGGCUCAACCCAGGAACUGCCUUUAAAACUGUCAGUCUAGAGACCGGAAGAGGUUAGGGGAAUACCUAGUGUAGAGGUGAAAUUCGUAGAUAUUAGGUGGAACACCAGUGGCGAAGGCGCCUAACUGGUCCGGUACUGACGCUGAGGAACGAAAGCGUGGGGAGCAAACAGGAUUAGAUACCCGCGUAGUC